rnacentral:rRNA from 1 species
GAGUCGGACCUGCCCGGUGAAUAAUUUUUAACGGCCGCGGUACUCUGACCGUGCAAAGGUAGCAUAAUCAUUUGCCCUAUAAUUGAGGGCUAGUAUGAAUGGUUUGACGUGAGCGAGACUGUCUCUAUAUAAUUUCUUAGAACUUGAUUUUUAGGUGAGGAAACCUAAAUUUAAUUGAAAGACAAGAAGACCCUAUUGAGCUUUAAAAUAAUAAGUUGAAAAUGACAUAUAGUUUUAAAUAUCAAUCUAUUUUAAAUUUUGGUUGGGGCGACUAAGGAACAAAUAAAGCUUCUUUAUUUAGCUAAUACUGUCGGGUGUUGAUCCAAAAAUUUUGAUUAAUGGAAUUAGUUACCAUAGGGAUAACAGCAUAAUUCUCUUUGAGAGUUCAUAUCGAAAAGAGAGUUUGUGACCUCGAUGUUGGACUAGAAUAUCCUAAAGAUGUAGCAGUCUUUAAGGGUUGGUC